AAAGGGGAUUAGCCCAGCACCGAAUCCUGCAGUCAUUGCUGCUAGGAAAUGUGGUGUUUAGGGAGCCUUCUGUGCCUUGUGACUAACCCUAAGUCCACUUGAUUGUGGCUUUUGGUCCAGAGAGGGUGUAAGACCCGUCUGGGUAUGUUGCUUGGUGCCUUAGGCGCCCUUGGAGUCGGGUUGUUUGAGAUUGCAGCCCUAAGCAGGUGGUAAACUCCAUCUAAGGCUAAAUACUAACACGAGUCCGAUAGCAAACAAGUACCGUGAGGGAAAGUUGAAAAGAACUUUGAAGAGAGAGUUCAAUAGUACGUGAAACCGCUCAGAGGUAAACGGGUGGAACCGAAGCAUAUGCCGGGGAUUCAGCCGACUGGAAUGCAGUUACUUAUACACUAUAACUCAUGUUAGGUGUGAUUUUGUGGAUUGUGUUUUAGUUGGUGCACUUUCCUGGCACGGUCACCACGACCGACGGUAUGGUUGGCCUACAGUUGAAAGGGGGUAGCGUUGAUUUUGAUUGACGUGAUAAUCUUUUGACGUGGUGCUGACUGUGCGUUGGAGAUGACGAUGCACGCCCUGGGCUCAUAUGCUUUAGAGCGAUGAUGGCUUGUUGAUUUGACUACUUGUAGUCUGUUUGAUGUGCUGUUGUCUGCUUUGAGGCCGCUAUGAGUUGUGUCGAUAGUCAGUGGUGAUAGUAGGUAAUCCACCUGACCCGUCUUGAAACACGGACCAAGAAGUCUAGCAUGUGCGCGAGUCAAAGGGCGUUACGAAACCCCAUGGCGAAAUGAAAGUAAAGACUUGUAAAAGUUGAGGAGAGAUCCUGGUACCACGCGGUUGGUCUGGGCGCAUCUCCGGCCUGUCUCAUGAUGUGCUACAUCGGAGCAGCGCAAGAGCGUACAUGCUGGGACCCGAAAGAUGGUGAACUAUGCUUGCGCAGGUCGAAGCCAGAGGAAACUCUGGUGGAAGACCGUAGCGAUUCUGACGUGCAAAUCGAUCGUCAGACGUGAGUAUAGGGGCGAAAGACUAAUCGAACCAUCUAGUAGCUGGUUCCAUCCGAAGUUUCCCUCAGGAUAGCUAGCACUCGGAAACAAACAGUUUUAUCCGGUAAAGCGAAUGAUUAGAAGUAUUGGGGUCGAAACGAUCUCAACUUAUUCUCAAACUUUAAAUGGGUGAGAAGCUUGGCUCUCUUAAUUGGAGUCGAGCAUUGAAUGUGAGUGCUCAGUGGGCCAUUUUUGGUAAGCAGAACUGGCGCUGUGGGAUGAACCAAACGUUCGGUUAAGGUGCCUAAUACGACGCUCAUCAGACACCACAAAAGGUGUUGGUUGAUAUAGACAGCAGGACGGUGGCCAUGGAAGUCGGAAUCCGCUAAGGAGUGUGUAACAACUCACCUGCCGAAUCAACCAGCCCUGAAAAUGGAUGGCGCUGGAGCGUUGAACCUAUACCGGACCGUCACCGCAAGCUUGCUAAGUACGCGGUGGCGAGUAGGAUGGUCGCCGUGGUGAGCGUAGAAGCUGCGGGCGUGAGCCUGGGUGGA
rnacentral:rRNA from 1 species